GAUGAAGAACGCAGCGAAAUGCGAUAAGUAAUGUGAAUUGCAGAACUCAGUGAAUCAUCGAAUCUUUGAACGCACAUUGCGCCCCCUGGUAUUCCGGGGGGCAUGCCUGUCCGAGCGUCAUUGCUGCCCUCAAGCACAGCUUGUGUGUUGGGCCUCCGUCCUCCUCCCGGGGGACGGGCCCGAAAGGCAGCGGCGGCACCGCGUCCGGUCCUCGAGCGUAUGGGGCUUCGUCACCCGCUCUUGUAGGCCCGGCCGGCGCUUGCCGACACAUCAAUCUUUUUUCCAGGUUGACCUCGGAUCAGGUAGGGAUACCCGCUGAACUUAAGCAUAUCAAUAAGCGGAGGA
rnacentral:misc_RNA from 1 species